AGGCAGAAAGCCUGAGAGAAGGUGGACGGACCCAGCAGCCGCAGCCCGGCUCCUCCCGGACCGGGCACCCUGUCGACGGCCCCGACUCUCCGGGCCACCCCAGUUUGGAGGAUUCUAACCUUGAUUUUCCAGCUUUGACCCCCCUCUGGAAGCGGUCAUAUGUGUCAAAUGGGUGUGAAAUGCUGGCUAAAACUACAGACAUAUCUUUGACUGAUCAAGCCUGA
rnacentral:lncRNA from 1 species